AUACGGAGGGUGCAAGCGUUAAUCGGAAUUACUGGGCGUAAAGCGCACGCAGGCGGUCUGUCAAGUCGGAUGUGAAAUCCCCGGGCUCAACCUGGGAACUGCAUUCGAAACUGGCAGGCUUGAGUCUUGUAGAGGGGGGUAGAAUUCCAGGUGUAGCGGUGAAAUGCGUAGAGAUCUGGAGGAAUACCGGUGGCGAAGGCGGCCCCCUGGACAAAGACUGACGCUCAGGUGCGAAAGCGUGGGGAGCAAACAGGAUUAGAUACCCUGGUAGUCCACGCCGUAAACGAUGUCGACUUGGAGGUUGUGCCCUUGAGGCGUGGCUUCCGGAGCUAACGCGUUAAGUCGACCGCCUGGGGAGUACGGCCGCAAGGUUAAA
rnacentral:rRNA from 2 species